rnacentral:rRNA from 1 species
GAUCCUGGCUCAGAAUCAACGCUGGCGGCGUGCCUAACACAUGCAAGUCGAACGAGAAAGUGGUAGCAAUACCAUGAGUAAAGUGGCGCACGGGUGAGUAACACGUGACUAACCUACCCUUGAGUGGGGGAUAACUUCGGGAAACCGAGGCUAAUACCGCAUAAUACCUACGGGUCAAAGGAGCAAUUCGCUUAAGGAGGGGGUCGCGGCCGAUUAGUUAGUUGGCGGGGUAAUGGCCCACCAAGACAGUGAUCGGUAUCCGGCCUGAGAGGGCGCACGGACACACUGGAACUGAAACACGGUCCAGACUCCUACGGGAGGCA